rnacentral:lncRNA from 1 species
GAAAAUCAUGAAAGUACAGAAUGCAACAUAGAGACACAAAAAUCAAGUUCUAUCUUCAUGUUUAUUUAAAAAAAUUUGGGACCAUGUAAAUUGAUAACAUAGAAAUAAAAAGAAUAAAUACUACUAACAAAUCAUAGAAGAGAAAUACCCAUACAAGUCGUGUAAGUAACAGAAACAAGCCAUGGUUGAUUAAAGAAACGCAUUCACAGAUAGCAAGGACACAAAUUGGUAUUAAUAUUUGGAAAACAAACAUAGAUAUUAAUAUUUGGAACACAGGCAUAGAAGGUUCCACUGCAAGCCGAAUUAGCUUCACAACUUUCAAUGACAUUAAUUUUAAGCUGCUAUUC